GACGGAGGAUGCAAGUGUUAUCCGGAAUCACUGGGCGUAAAGCGUCUGUAGGUGGUUCGAAAAGUCCACUGUUAAAAAUUGAAGCUUAACUUCAAAGAUGCCGUGGAAACUUUCAAACUAGAGUGUGGUAGAGGUAGAGGGAAUUUCCAGUGGAGCGGUGAAAUGCGUAGAUAUUGGAAAGACCACCGAUGGCGAAGGCACUCUACUGGGCCAUUACUGACACUGAGAGACGAAAGCUAGGGGAGCAAAUGGG
rnacentral:rRNA from 1 species